rnacentral:rRNA from 1 species
AUAGAUACCCAGGUAGUCCACGCCGUAAACGAUGAGUGCUAAGUGUUAGAGGGUUUCCGCCCUUUAGUGCUGCAGCUAACGCAUUAAGCACUCCGCCUGGGGAGUACGGCCGCAAGGCUGAAACUCAAAGGAAUUGACGGGGGCCCGCACAAGCGGUGGAGCAUGUGGUUUAAUUCGAAGCAACGCGAAGAACCUUACCAGGUCUUGACAUCCUCUGCCAACCCUAGAGAUAGGGCGUUCCCCUUCGGGGGACAGAGUGACAGGUGGUGCAUGGUUGUCGUCAGCUCGUGUCGUGAGAUGUUGGGUUAAGUCCCGCAACGAGCGCAACCCUUGAUCUUAGUUGCCAGCAUUCAGUUGGGCACUCUAAGGUGACUGCCGGUGACAAACCGGAGGAAGGUGGGGAUGACGUCAAAUCAUCAUGCCCCUUAUGACCUGGGCUACACACGUGCUACAAUGGAUGGUACAAAGAGCUGCGAACCCGCGAGGGUAAGCCAAUCUCAUAAAGCCAUUCUCAGUUCGGAUUGU